rnacentral:rRNA from 1 species
AGCGGAGGAAAAGAAACUAACAAGGAUUCCCCUAGUAACUGCGAGUGAAGCGGGAAAAGCUCAAAUUUAAAAUCUGGCAGCCUUCGGUUGUCCGAGUUGUAAUCUAGAGAAGUGUUAUCCGCGCUGGACCGUGUACAAGUCUCCUGGAAUGGAGCGUCAUAGAGGGUGAGAAUCCCGUCUUUGACACGGACUGCCAGGGCUUUGUGAUGCGCUCUCAAAGAGUCGAGUUGUUUGGGAAUGCAGCUCAAAAUGGGUGGUAAAUUCCAUCUAAAGCUAAAUAUUGGCGAGAGACCGAUAGCGAACAAGUACCGUGAGGGAAAGAUGAAAAGAACUUUGGAAAGAGAGUUAAACAGUACGUGAAAUUGCUGAAAGGGAAACGCUUGAAGUCAGUCGCGUUGUUUGGGAAUCAACCUUGCUUUUGCUGGGCGUACUUUCCAGAUGACGGGCCAGCAUCAAUUUUGACCGUUGGAUAAAGGCUGGAGGAAUGUGGCAUCUUCGGAUGUGUUAUAGCCUCUGGUUGUAUACAACGGUUGGGAUUGAGGAACUCAGCACGCCGCAAGGCCGGGUACUUGUACCACGUUCGUGCUUAGGAUGCUGGCAUAAUGGCUUUAAUCGACCCGUCUUGAAACACGGACCAAGGAGUCUAACAUGCCUGCGAGUAUUUGGGUGGAAAACCCGAGUGCGUAAUGAAAGUGAAAGUUGAGAUCCCUGUCGCGGGGAGCAUCGACGCCCGGACCAGACCUUUUGUGACGGAUCUGCGGUAAAGCAUGUAUGUUGGGACCCGAAAGAUGGUGAACUAUGCCUGAAUAGGGUGAAGCCAGAGGAAACUCUGGUGGAGGCUCGUAGCGAUUCUGACGUGCAAAUCGAUCGUCAAAUUUGGGUAUAGGGGCGAAAGACUAAUCGAACCAUCU